rnacentral:rRNA from 1 species
UACAGGGGGGUGCAAACGUUGCUCGGAAUCAUUGGGCGUAAAGCGCACGUAGGCGGUUCGUUAUGUCGGAUGUGAAAGCCCUUGGCUUAACCGAGGAAGUGCAUCCGAAACUGGCGAGCUAGAGUACGAAAGAGGAUCGCGGAAUUCCCGGUGUAGAGGUGAAAUUCGUAGAUAUCGGGAGGAACACCGGUGGCGAAGGCGGCGAUCUGGGUCGAUACUGACGCUGAGGUGCGAAAGCGUGGGGAGCAAACAGGG